UGGUUGAUUCUGCCAGUAAUGAUUACGCUUGUUUCAAAGAUUAAGCCAUGCAUGUCUAAGUAUAAGCAUUUAUACUGCGAAACCGUACACAGCUCCUUAUAUCAGUUAUCGUUUAUUUGAUGAUAGCUUACUCCAUGGAUAACCGGAGAAAAUCUCGGGCUAAUACAUGCACACAAUCCCAAUUCAGUUUACUGGAGAGGAGUGUAUUUAUUGGAUACAAAACCAAUUGUUAAUUUAUUAACAUCUUUGGUGAUUCACAAUAACUGUUCGGAUCGCAUUGGCCUUGUGCCAGCGACAGAUCAUUCAAAUUUCUGCCCUAUCAGAUAUGAUUGUUGGGUCGUGGCCAACAAUGUCUAUAACGGGUACGGGAAACGUGGGUUUAACGUCCGGAGAGCCAGCUUGAGAAUCAGCUAGCAUUUCUAAGGAAAGCAGCAGGCGCGAAAAUUGCCCAAUCCAGGUUCUGGGAGGCAGUGACAAAAAAUAACGACACUGGGCUUUUUAAGUCUCGGUGAUUGGAAUGAGUACAAUUUAAACUACUUAACGAUUAUCUAAUUGAGGGAAAGUCUGGUGCCAGCAUCCGCGGUAAUACCAGCUCAAUUAGCGUAUAUUAAAGUUGCUGCUGUUAAAAAGUUCGUAGUUGAAUUUCUGUUGAUCUUUAUACUAGAUAUAAUUUAUUAUAUUUGGUGUGAGAUCUUCAUCUAUCGUGGUAUUAUAUUUUUUACAUUAAUUUGUAGAUUAUAUGAUCCCGGUCAGUUACUUUGAGCAAAUUAGAGUGUUCCAAGCAGGCGUAUGCUUUGAAUACUUGAGCAUGGGAUAACAAAAUAGGACUUGCAUCUAUUUUGUUGGUUUUAGUGAUGUAAGUAAUGAUUGAUAGGGAUGGCUGGGGGUGCUCGUAUUCAAUGGCCAGAGGUGAAAUUCUGUGAUUCAUUGACGACGAACGAAAGCGAAAGCAUUCACCAAGAACAUCUUCUUUAAUCAAGAGCGAAAGUCGAGGGAGAAACAGGGAUUAGAUACCCCUUUAUUCUCGACCAUAAACGAUGUUGACUACGGAUUGGUAAAAGCUCUUACAGGCUUUAUCAGGACGUUAUGGGAAACCAAAGUUUUUAAACUCAGGGGGGAGUAUGAUCGCAAGGUUAAAACUUAAAGAAAUUGACGGAAAAGCAUCACUGGGAUUGGAUUCUGCGGCUUAAUUUGACACAACGCGGGAAACCUUACUCGGUCCGGACAAAAGUAGGAUUGACAGAUUGAAGAUCUUUCUUGAUUUUUUGGGUGGUGGUGCAUGGCCGUUCUUAGUUGGUGGAGUGAUUUGUCUGGUUAAUUCCGAUAACGUACGAGACCCUGGCUUACUAACUAGUUUUUGUUAUAUUCAUAUAGCUAAAAGCUUCUUAGAAGGACUUCUGGCUUCCAGCCGGAUGAAGUGCAGGGCAAUAACAGGUCUGUGAUGCCCUUCGAUGAUCGAGGCCGCACGCGUAAUACACUGGCAGGUUCAACA
rnacentral:rRNA from 1 species